UUGGUACGAGAACCAGUAGAGCCUGAGAAAAUGUCCAAGUUCAAUGAAUCUAGUAGGAGGGUCAUCCAGAACCAGAUCGCAACAUGGGCUAGGUUCGCCUAAAACGUAGUUUUAUCACGGUUGAAAAUAAACCAUACAGUCCUUGACAGAUCCAGAGGCAGUUAUAUAUAUAUAUAGGAGGAGGAGGACACGGCAGGAGGCAUAUAUAUGUUAGCUAUGUCGACAAACUGAAAUAUUCAUCGGAAGUUGAUUAGAAAUGGGCAAUGAGUUUGUUUGGGGUCACCCUGAGUUCCUCCUAGCUUCUUCAGUACCCGUGGAAAGCUAAUGCUACAAUUAUCUUGAGCUGGUAAGACUGGCAGGUGUCAGAUGUGGAUGUGUUAAAGGGUUUGGAGGAACUCUAGGUGCUGCCAAACUUGUUACCUAUCAUGCUGUGUGGUAGAUGCAGAUCUGAAUCGGAUAAUUUGGUGCACAAAUUAAGGACUUGGAGAGACUAGACAAAAUACUUCUCAAUUCUUUUCAACAAUUUGGUAUUUGUGCUUUUCUCUCACAAUUGGAAUCUAAUUACUAUGAGUAGAGGUAUGUGUUCUUGGGCUACCGCUUUUGAUGAUAUUGCUAACAUUUUGGUAUCAAAGCAAUAUCUCCAGUCUAGUGUUUUUAUUCCAUUAAAGAUCUCUUUGAUUGCAUAAUUUAUCUGGUUUAUCUAUUAAAUUAUGUAUAUUACGAUGUUUUCAAGUUUGCUUUGUGUUUGAAACUCUGCACAAUGUGGAAUUCUACUGAAAUUCAUGCAUGUGUGGUGUUUUACUUUGUAUUUCAAAACUCUAUUCAAACUGGAUUCUUGCAUGUGGAAUUAUACUGGAAUUCUUACAUUUGUGAUGUUUUAUUUAUAAUUUUUAUCUUUGAAAAAACUAAUUGGAUAAUCAAAUUCCAUGUGAAAUUAUGAGAGAGAGAGAAAAGCCCGAUGAUGCUGCAUGUUCUUAUCUUGUAUGGAUCAUGAAUAACAUUAUGGGUCUGUAACUAGACAAAGAAUCCUUUUGCUACACUUCUUCUGCAUAAUUGUCAUUUGUAUCCCAUGUUAGUUAAUGUGUUUGAUUUUGUUGUAACUUUUGUGGUAAUAAGUUUAUAAAAAAAUAUUUUUAGUUUUGGUUUUUUAAAAAAUGUAUUUUGUUAAAAUGAUUAUAAGAUAGAUUUUUGCAUAUAAAAUAAAUAAAAAGAGGGUUUUUUAUAAAUAAAAAAUAAAUUAUUUUAAUUUUUAUAAAUUCAAUGUUUAAAACACAAUUAUGUGUGGGUUCGGUAUAAAAAGCAGAAAUCAUUUCACUAACCAAAUAAUUUUUUCUCUUUUGGUAAGGUAAAAAGCGAAAAUGAACAUCCUUUUAAUUCUUUAAGGCAAGCUGGGUUGGAUUCACUUGUUAAUAUUUUGUUGAAUAAAACCUCAACAUUUAAAUGUUGCUUUUAUGGAGAAUCGAACUCAGGAAAAUAUGAGAAAAACACAAUAGCCACCAUUAGGUUUUUAAUUCAUUACAUGUGUGUGUAUUAGGAUUUUUAUGCAUACUUAAUUUUUCAAUGCAUAUUUUUUUUUUUCCUAAAUAUAAAGAAUUUGCAAUUGACAUAAAAUUUAGUCAAUAAUUAUGAUGCCAUAUUAAGUUUAUAUUUGAUAAAUUAAGUAAUAGCUACAACAUUUUUAAUUAUAAAAAUAUAUAGUAACAUUAAGUUUAGUUACAUAAAGUUAAUAACAUCAAUAAUUAUCCCCCCUGGUAAUUUUUAUAUUUAAGUGAUUAAUUAGGAUGAGAUAGAAAUAAUUAAAAAAAAUAUUAAUCUAGUUGCCUAAAGGCCUAAAAAAUUCUUUUAGAAAUAAAUGCUAGUCUUGUCAUAAAGUAAUUUAAAUUGCAUGGAUGUUAUAAUCUAAGCUAAUUUAUUUUUUAAAAUUAACUUACAUGGGUAAAUGUUUUGUAUUUGGCUUCAUCACAUAGGAGCUUUGUUGUUUAUUUAUAAUUAUUCAAACUUUAUUUGUUCUGAAUUUCAAUUCAUUUAAUGUUGCUCCUAUAAGUGUUUCUUCUUACAUUACGUUGCAUGGACCUUGAUUUAGCACUUUGAGUGGAUGAACCUCUAAAGCCCAUGGAAUCAAGCAAGGGAAAAUGCCUCUUAAUCAAGUUAAUAUGGGCAAUGCCAGGUUUUUAUUUUGCAAGAAGAAAGGACAUGUAAAGAAGACAUAUCCCAAAUUUAAGCAUAGACUUGAAAAAAAAGGUAAUCUCAUAUUUUUAGUGUGUUUUGAAUCUAAUAUGGUUCAUGUUUCUCAUAACAUUUGGUGGAUUUUGGUGAAUUGAUUCUGGUUCUACAAUCAAUAUUGUCAAUACCAUGUAAGGCUUCUUAAAAAAAUAGAUGAAAAAUGAAUGUCAUUUGUUCAGGAAACACUACCUUCACAUGAAGAUGCGGUUGGGACCUAAAGGCCUGUCCUUAUUUCUUGUUUUGUUUUAGACCUUGAAAAACCUUUUAUGUUUUAUCUUUUUCAAUAAACCUUAUUUAAGUUUUAAGACUUUUAUGUUGUGCCUUUAAUUUUAAAUUCAUUGUAACUCCCUUCAUUUAUAUUAAUACAAUGUUUUUAUUGGUACU